CACGUAGGGGACGAGCGUUGUCCGGAUUCAUUGGGCGUAAAGCGCGCGUAGGCGGCUCGGAGAGUCGGGUGUGAAAGCCCGGGGCUCAACCCCGGGACUGCAUCCGAUACUUCCGGGCUGGAGGCAGGUAGGGGAGAUCGGAAUUCCUGGUGUAGCGGUGAAAUGCGCAGAUAUCAGGAGGAACACCGGUGGCGAAGGCGGAUCUCUGGGCCUUGCCUGACGCUGAGGCGCGAAAGCUAGGGGAGCGAACAGG
rnacentral:rRNA from 1 species